GUCAACACUCAUUUCACUGUGAAUGCACUGGUUCUCGUCCGAUCACCAAAGUUAAGCACAAUUGAGCGCGGUUAGUACUUGGAUGGGUGACCGCUUGGGAAUACCGCGUAGUGUUGACU